rnacentral:tRNA from 1 species
GAGACUUAGCUCAGCUGGUUAGAGCGCUUGCUUCACAUGCAAGAGGUCGCGGGUUCGAGUCCCUCAGCCUCC